AGUAUUCAAGCUCCAGGACAAAGGGGGCGGGGAGGCCGCCACUAGCAAACAACCUCAGCUUCAUAAAUCCAGCAGAAAGGUCCGGGGUAUUGUUGAAAAGGUCGGAAGGACCAAGAUUAUGUCCGCCAGCCUAAGUGGGACGAACAACCAAGUUGUGCGAUGCAGCUUUAAAGGGGCUGGUGAUUGACAGAAUGGUGUAGUAGUAGAUGGGGUGGAGCCGCUGGGUGGGGUCGAGACUGGCAGCUGAGAGAUACCAAAAGGAAGAAAAAAGAAAACCAUUGCUCUUGAUAUUGCUAAUGCCGGGGGAGGUAAGCUAACGAGAAAGUAGGGAAAAGGAAGGUUUUAGAGUUCACCUCCACUCCUUCCCCUGGCUAACACUCUUUACACUCUUCUGCCUUCCCUUGAGAUAAUUAAAAUAGACUGUACACCGGCCCUAGUCGGUGCCCAUUCCCCCUAACUCUUCACUCAACUACGUGUGUAGUCCGAGGGAGUGAGGACCCCGGGUCCAAGAGCUCAAUCCCGGCCCCGCCCCGUCGGCCCAGGCCCCGGGGCUGGGAGGAGAGGAUGCCUUCGGAGGCGCAGAAUCCGAAAAGAUGUGGUUGGAGCUGGAAGCUGUUAUCCUCAGCAAACUAAUGCAGGAGGAGAAAACCAAAUACUGCAAGUUCUCACUUAUAAGUGGGAACUGAAUGAUGAGAACAUUUGGACAUGAAGACCAAAUCUCCAGGAUUGUGAAUCAAUCAGAGAAUGUUUAGAAGCUGGGCAGAGAAAUCGAGCUGCAAAAUGACCUACAGAUAUUACAGUUUUAUUCUUGGAAAAUGGAGGUUGUCUAUUAGUGUGAUGGUAACAACCAACUAAUAAAAUUUGGAGACUAGACUGCUUGUCAUGUCUGGGGUUCACUGGAAAUCAAUGAUUCACUGGAACAAUUCUCCUGUCAAAAAAAAUGUGAGUCUGUUUUCAGGCUGCUAAUAAAGACAUACCCAAGACUGGAUAACUUAUAAAGGAAAGAGGUUUAAUUGACUCACAGUUCCACAUGGCUGGGGAGACCUCACAAUCAUGGUGGAAGGCUAAUGAGGAGCAAAGUCACGUCUUACAUAACAGCAG
rnacentral:lncRNA from 10 species